GUGCCUAACACAUGCAAGUCGAACGAGAAAGUGGAGCAAUCCAUGAGUACAGUGGCGUACGGGUGAGUAACACGUGACUAACCUACCCUCGAGUGGGGAAUAACCUCGGGAAACCGGGGCUAAUACCGCAUAACAUCUACGGAUCAAAUGCGUAAGCAGCUUGAGGAGGGGGUCGCGGCCGAUUAGCUAGUUGGCGGGGUAAUGGCCCACCAAGGCAAUGAUCGGUAGCCGGCCUGAGAGGGCGCACGGCCACACUGGAACUGAAACACGGUCCAG
rnacentral:rRNA from 1 species